CCAGCCCCUCUGCCUUGUUCUGUCUCUCAAAGGCAUUGAGAUCCAGGACGCUGAGGGAAAGA
ensembl:miRNA